rnacentral:lncRNA from 1 species
GGCUCAUGAGUGGCCUGCCAGGAGGGAGAAGAGCAGUUUUCAUUGUUGGUGUAUAUGUUGUGGUUGUGCACAUACUUUCCAGUCAGCAUGGAGGAACGCGAUGGGCAGCACAUUGGGGUGGUUACGAAGGCAUUGAUGAAGGAUGCUCCUCCAUUCUCCAUAAUCCGUCUGGUUUUGUUCAUCACUUGUAAGGACCCUAGCUCCACAUCUUGGUCAUCUGUGAGCACAAGGAUGAUAUUUGGUCUGAUAUUUUUUCGCUCCUGCUGCACACGGCCUCUGAACCUCAGGGACUUGAGAGUGGAAGAAUGACUUGUCAGCAGUUCAGAACUGAGCACUGCCAAGAGGAGUGCAAACCAAGAGGUCUUCAUAGUAGUUCC